ensembl:lncRNA
CAACAGUGCAUUAUGUCAACAGAGGGAGAGACUUGAAUGCAGAAACGUACAUUAUUAUUAUUAUUAUUAUUUAGCCAAUGUCUUUGUCCAAGCCAAGGCCAUCUACAACAGAAGAAAGAUUCUUAGAAUAGCACAAUUUGCUACGUAGCCUGAAAAACUCCAGUAAAAAUCUCAGGUGUAGAGAUGGGCCAAAUACUGUGUCAUUAAAAAAACUGUUCCCGGAGAAAAAAGUAAUAAUAAUACUAAUAGUAAUAAUAAUAAUAAUAAUGAUUUCUGGACGUGUACUCUAAAGUAAUGAGGGGAAUGAAAGCGCGCGCUCUCAGUUGAAACUCCGCGCUUACGAGCCUUCCCGUUUCAGUAAGUCGCGCGGCGCUCCGUGACGUCACGUACGCGCGCACUGUACGCGGAACGUUCCUCCGAGCGCGUGCUGCUGGCGCCGUGAGCACAUGGAGAAGGGCUCAAGGUGGAGAAGGGUGGAAAAGUACGUCGUUUCUCUUUCCGGAGACGGUUUAUUAUUUUUCCACGCACAAAGUGGAAUAAUGUGGACAUCUCAGCUCGAGAAGAAAAGCGAACCGAGGGAAGGGCUCCGUACCACUGGGACUGCAUUGAACAGUUGCGGAUGGAUCGAUGGAUCAAUGGAUCGAUGGCUUCAUUAACACUAAGGAUGAUUCGAUUUUUUUCAGAUCUGAAUACAGCCUCUACUAAAAAUAGCACAAGCCCAACCCAUCGCGAAAGACACCAUGGAAAGAAGAUCUGGAAGGAUGGCUUGGAACUCAUCCACGCCUUAGUGGAGGGCCCUGUGAUCUUGGAAGCGGCUGUCAGCCGUAUCGUACUUGUCCCGUUUCCAGUAACCAAGCAGUGAGAUGGCCUCCUGUGCCCCCUGCCUUGCCAGACGGAAACACCGUGACCCUGCUACCCACACCCCCACCCACAAGGGCUUCUCGACUAAGCUGCCACCCACCUGGAGGCCGUGUGACGUUGUCGAAGAUGGUUUCUUUUUUUUUUUUUCCUUCCCCCAUAGAGUGGCAAACCACAGGAACAUAGUUAAAUUCAGAAUAUGAAAAGGCACUGCAGGGCAGGGGUUGGACAACUGUUGGACACGUUGGUUGGAACCUGUAGGCCUUUGGAUUGGAAUGUGUGUAACUGUCUGAGUUGAGGUGUGAAAUACUACAUAGGCUUUUUGUUGACAAGACCAUCAUUUCCCACGGAGUGAACUGUAUCCCCUCCUGCAGACACUACACUGCAUUGUCUGCCCUUUCUACAGUGAUAACGUGCCAAAUAUUUCUGACUCACCUUCGGUUUGUUGGCCCUGCACCGAUCCCAAGACAACGCUUACAAUUCUCUGUCAUAUUUCGUCAAGUUCUGCACCGAACGUGUCUUCGUUGAGUCACUGAUCGCUCAGGAUACUCCAGAGGACGGUUCUUCUCAUCUGACUCCACCCCUGCUAGUCCACUGACUCUCCGGGCACUUGUUGUGUCCAGCACUCUCUAGCUUCCUGGAUGGCCACCAGCCAAUCAGGGCAGAGCAAUAUACUUUGUUCCUGCCCCUCCUCAUUUCCUUGGCUCCCAUGGUUGCGCUGUACGUUAAAACAGUAUGAUGUGUGGCAGCAAGGAUAAGCAAAAAUUUACAGUUAACAUCAAUAAAAGCAGUAUGUUUUAUUGACUGAGAAGAGCA